rnacentral:rRNA from 1 species
UACCGAGGUCUCAAGCGUUGUUCGGAUUUAUUGGGCGUAAAGGGUGCGCAGGCCGCAUGGUAAGUUUGGUGUGAAAUCCUGGGGCUUAACCCCAGAAUUGCACUGAAUACUGCCGUGCUAGAGGACUGGAGAGGAGAUUGGAAUUCACGGUGUAGCAGUGAAAUGCGUAGAUAUCGUGAGGAAGACCAGUGGCGAAGGCGAAUCUCUGGGCCGUAACUGACGCUGAGGAGCGAAAGCAUGGGGAGCGAACAGG